rnacentral:lncRNA from 1 species
GUGGUUGUCGUUUGUUUAUGUGUUACAUAUUUUUUUUUUCGUUCAUUUUUUACAUAAAUGAGGCCGUUAGUUUUCUCGCUUGAAUUGUUUUACAUUGUCUUAUCGGGGCCUUUUAUAGCUGACUAUGCGGUAUGGGCUUUGCUCAUUGUUGAAGGCCGUACGGUGACCUAUAGUUGUUAAUGUUUGUGUCAUUUUGGUCUUUUGUGGAUGGUUGUCUCAUUGGCAAUCAUACCAUAUCUUCUUUUUUAUAUCAUGUUGUACCGUUAUACCACUGUCCCAGGUUAGGAGGAGGAUUAUGAUCCCGCGAACAUGAUUAACCCCGUUACAUUAUUUAUGUAUGUGCUUGUUCCAUGCCAGGAGCCUGUAAUUCAGUGGUUGUCGUUUGUUUAUAUGUUACAUAUUUGUUUUUCGUUCAUUUCUUUAUAUAAAUAAGGCCGUUAGUUUUCUGGUUUGAAUUGUUUUACAUUGUCACAUCGGGGCCUUGUAUAGCUGACUAUGCGGUAUAUGCUUUGCUCAUUG